rnacentral:rRNA from 1 species
UUUGGCCUACGGGGGGCAGCAGUGAGGAAUAUUGGUCAAUGGGCGAGAGCCUGAACCAGCCAAGUCGCGUGAAGGAUGACGGCCCUACGGGUUGUAAACUUCUUUUGUCAGGGAGCAAUUGAGUCCACGUGUGGGCUUAGCGAGAGUACCUGAAGAAAAAGCAUCGGCUAACUCCGUGCCAGCAGCCGCGGUAAUACGGAGGAUGCGAGCGUUAUCCGGAUUUAUUGGGUUUAAAGGGUGCGCAGGCGGUCUGUUAAGUCAGCGGUCAAAGCCCGGGGCUCAACCCCGGCCCGCCGU